UGGGAAGACAGGCAAGCACUGUGCUCUGAUAGGGCUGCUUUGACUGAGAAGGGUUUCCUGCCACCCAAACGAUUUUAUGUUGCUUUAUGGAAAACCAAGUGCUCAUGAGCCCCAGAGAUGUAUUGAUACCCCUGGACUGGCCCCUGCACUUGGUAGGCUAUUUCAUGUCACAGACCAGGGUCAUUUCUGAGCCCUCUUGGUCUCUCCAUAGGUUGUAGAGUAUCCGGAGUACUUGGAUCUUCGCCCAUACAUGUCUCAGGCAGAUGGAGAAGCACUCCUCUACUCCUUAUAUGCUGUCCUGGUGCACAGUGGUGUCAGCUGUCAUGGAGGACACUAUUUCUGCUACACAAAGGCCAGCAAUGGAUUGUGGUACCGGAUGGACGAUGAAUCUGUGGAGCUGCGUUCCAUUGACACAGUUCUCAGGCAGCAAGCCUACCUGCUGUUCUAUGCCAGAUGCUCUGAUCUGAGAAUUGGAGAAAGGGCUUCUUCCUCACUGGCACCAUCACAUGCCCCUUCCUUCCUCAGUCAGUGUGUGGCCAGCAGCAAGCAGGCGGGCUCUGUUGGAC